AUUCUAGAACUUGUGUGUUUAAUAUGGAUGAAGUUCGAAAAGAAUUGAAGAAAGUCAUGCAAAGUUGGAGCCAAAUUAGGAUGCACAAGUUGAUGCAAUAAAUGAGGGUUUGUCGGUAAUUGACGGUAUUAUCCGAAAGGAAAUUUGGACGUUACUUUGUUUAAACAGGGAUGCGAGCGAGGGCGUGAGACCUGUACAAACUAGCAUGGUCUAGUUCUUUUGAAUUUUUACGAUUGUACUCGCACUAAUGCUUGGAUAGGGUUGAAUGUAUUGGGAAUUUAGAACCUUUGUCUUAUUUGGGAUUGUAUUACUAUUUGAGAUAAAAAUGUAUGUAAGUAUACGUUCUAAA